rnacentral:misc_RNA from 1 species
GUUUUUCUUUAUAUUAUUACUAAUAGUGUUGCAGUGUUCUCCAGUUGAAAAUUCCUUCAGUUUCUUGUAAGUAACUACUGUAUGUUGUUGCAAUUUAUGGAUGCAUUUAUCAAAUUAGAUAUCCCUUUGGUCAUGAAUGAAUUUCUUAAAAUUCUAUUGAUUAAACUUGACCUUAGCUUCAUAUGUAUCUUUUUAUCAUUUUAUGUUG